UGAGUCCUGUGUGCAUAGUUUUCAUCUAUGUCUGGUAGCAGUAUCUGUUUGUGUUUUGCAUUCAGAUCUUGCUAUCCACACAAAAGAAUGCAGCCAAAGAAUAACUUGGGAUCAUAGUACUGGUCUAGUGUUGUGUUUUUGAACACAUCUCCCACUGACCAGCCUCCAAAUUCCCAGACACAA
rnacentral:snoRNA from 1 species